CAGCCGCCGUGCCGUCUGCUCGUCCCCCUCCCCCUCUUCCUCCUCCUCCUCCUCCUCGUCCUCCGCUGCCUCUUCAGCCGCCGCCACCGCCGGCUCCCCGCCGCCGGCAGGGCCCGCGCUCGGAUCCGUAGGGAAGGAAAAACUCCGGGAAGAAAGUUUUGGGAACUUUGGGAGCGCCUGCGCGGGGCGGUGCCCGCCCUUAACCCUUAGCUCCCCGAGGCCCGUGCGGCGGAACCAGCACUCCCGGGAGGCCUGAACAGAAAGCCGGACCCCUUCCCCCUUCGGACGCAGCCUGGAAUGGCGGGUGGGCAUAGGUACCAGACCUGCACUGAGGAGACCAAGAGGCUUUUUAUUGGGCGACAAUAAAUACUGGGGGUCA